rnacentral:rRNA from 1 species
GACGAACGCUGGCGGCGUGCUUAACACAUGCAAGUCGAGCGGAAAGGCCCCUUGUGGGUACUCGAGCGGCGAACGGGUGAGUAACACGUGAGUAAUCUGCCCUUCACUUCAGGAUAGCUCCCGGAAACGGGGAUUAAUACUGGACAUGACACAUUCGCGCAUGUGGGUGUGUGGAAAGUUUUUUCGGUGGGGGAUGUGCUCGCGGCCUAUCAGCUUGAUGGUGGGGUAAUGGCCUACCAUGGCUUCGACGGGUAGCCGGCCUGAGAGGGUGACCGGUCACACUGGGACUGAGACACGGCCCAGACUCCUACGGGAGGCAGCAGUGGGGAAUAUUGGACAAUGGGCGGAAGCCUGAUCCAGCAACGCCGCGUGAGGGAUGACGGCCUUCGGGUUGUAAACCUCUUUCAGCACAGACGAAGCGCAAGUGACGGUAUGUGCAGAAGAAGGACCGGCCAACUACGUGCCAGCAGCCGCCGUAACAC